AGUGAACGCUGGCGGUAGGCCUAACACAUGCAAGUCGAACGGCAGCACAGUAAGAGCUUGCUCUUACGGGUGGCGAGUGGCGGACGGGUGAGGAAUACAUCGGAAUCUACUUUUUCGUGGGGGAGAACGUAGGGAAACUUACGCUAAUACCGCAUACGACCUACGGGUGAAAGCAGGGGAUCUUCGGACCUUGCGCGAUUGAAUGAGCCGAUGUCGGAUUAGCUAGUUGGCGGGGUAAAGGCCCACCAAGGCGACGAUCCGUAGCUGGUCUGAGAGGAUGAUCAGCCACACUGGAACUGAGACACGGUCCAGACUCCUACGGGAGGCAGCAGUGGGGAAUAUUGGACAAUGGGCGAAAGCCUGAUCCAGCCAUACCGCGUGGGUGAAGAAGGCCUUCGGGUUGUAAAGCACUUUUGUUGGGAAAGAAAAGCAGCAGGUUAAUACCCCGCUGUUCUGACGGUACCCAAAGAAUAAGCACCGGCUAACUUCGUG
rnacentral:rRNA from 1 species